rnacentral:rRNA from 1 species
CUAGCGACAGGCUUAACACAUGCAAGUCGAGGGGCAGCGGGGUAGUGCUUGCACUACUGCCGGCGACCGGCGCACGGGUGAGUAACACGUAUGGAACCUGCCCGCAGCAGGGGGAUAAGCGGAAGAAAUUCCGUCUAAUACCGCGUAACAACGUUGGGAGGCAUCUCCCGAUGUUUAAAGAUUUAUCGGCUGCGGAUGGCCAUGCGGCGCAUUAGCUAGUCGGCGGGGUAACGGCCCACCGAGGCGACGAUGCGUAGGGGUUCUGAGAGGAAGGUCCCCCACACUGGUACUGAGACACGGACCAGACUCCUACGGGAGGCAGCAGUGAGGAAUAUUGGUCAAUGGCCGAGAGGCUGAACCAGCCAAGUCGCGUGAGGGAAGACGGCCCUACGGGUUGUAAACCUCUUUUGUCGGGGAGCAAAGCGAACCACGUGUGGUUCAUUGAGAGUACCCGAAGAAAAAGCAUCGGCUAACUCCGUGCCAGCAGCCGCGGUAAUACGGAGGAUGCGAGCGUUAUCCGGAUUUAUUGGGUUUAAAGGGUGCGCAGGCGGAGGUGCAAGUCAGCGGUCAAAUUGCGGGGCUCAACCCCGUACUGCCGUUGAAACUGCAUCCCUUGAGUGCGCGAGAAGUAUGCGGAAUGCGUGGUGUAGCGGUGAAAUGCAUAGAUAUCACGCAGAACUCCGAUUGCGAAGGCAGCAUACCGGCGCGCAACUGACGCUCAUGCACGAAAGCGUGGGUAUCGAACAGGAUUAGAUACCCUGGUAGUCCACGCAGUAAACGAUGAACAAAAACUGUUCGGCCAGAAUGAUGGCUGAGUGGUACAGCGAAAGCGUUAAGUGUUCCACCUGGGGAGUACGCCGGCAACGGUGAAACUCAAAGGAAUUGACGGGGGCCCGCACAAGCGGAGGAACAUGUGGUUUAAUUCGAUGAUACGCGAGGAGCGUUACCCGGGCUCAAACGACACAGGAAUACUUUUGAAAGGAGGUAGCCCUACGGGGUCUGUGUCGAGGUGCUGCAUGGUUGUCGUCAGCUCGUGCCGUGAGGUGUCGGCUUAAGUGCCAUAACGAGCGCAACCCCUAUCGCCAGUUACCAUCAAGUAAAGUUGGGGACUCUGGCGAGACUGCCGGCGCAAGCUGAGAGGAAGGCGGGGAUGACGUCAAAUCAGCACGGCCCUUACGUCCGGGGCGACACACGUGUUACAAUGGCAGGUACAGAGAGAAGCCAGGUGGUGACACCGAGCGGAACUCGAAAGCCUGUCUCAGUUCGGAUCGGAGUCUGCAACCCGACUCCGUGAAGCUGGAUUCGCUAGUAAUCGCGCAUCAGCCAUGGCGCGGUGAAUACGUUCCCGGGCCU